GGAGACCAGUAUUUGCAAUGAAUGCUCGUCUUCUCCCUUGCUGCCUGUCUAUCCAGUGAGGUAACUGCUAUUUCAUAAAUUCAGAUGCUGUAUCCCUUGCUGACCAUUUCUUGCUGUUAUCUAUUUGGACGUCAACUUGGUCCUCUGGUCUCUCCCUGUAGAUGCCUCCCUUUUUUGAAACCAUUAUCCACAUGGCCUGAAAAACACACCGGGGAAGAGACAAUGUGAAGAUGGUCAACUGCAAACCAGGAAGCAGGCCCUCACUGGACCCCAGAUCUGCUGGUGACUGGAUCUUGGACUGAGCCUCCAGAACUGAAAUAAAUAUUUAAUCAUUCUCUUGAACGAUCAGAACUCUAAAAUCAGUUUUCUAUAACAAAAUGUAACACAGACACGGUGGCUCCAAGGGCCAGGAAGACAGUGGUUAAGACACGAAAAGUGUAGGAAGGGGGCUGGAAACAAAGCAUUCUUUUCCAUCAAAGCUUCAUUCCUCAAGUCCUCGAUUCAAACAGUCAUUGUCCCUGCUUUCAAAAGUCUCUGCGUGCUUCGUGGAAGGAUAAUUGCACCCCUGGCCAGGUAUCACCCAUCAACCCCUGUCAUCUGUCAAGAGUGGCUGCUGGAGGCAUCACCCUCUGAUUCCAGGACUUCAGCCCUAACUGGUGCACUCCUCGGUUUGGGGCAUCCUCUGGUUGAGUGGCAGGCGCUGCAGGCAGGAGCCGUGGUGUGUGUGUGAACUGUCUACAGAGGCGGCAGGUGACCCAGCACUGUCAGCUGCAGCAUCUGGCAAGGCAGACAGAUAGAACUUAACAAGAAAAAGCUAAGGAAGAGAAGAGGAGAGAGAGGAGAGGAGAGAGACAGCGAAGAGGCUGGAAAAGGAAGAAGAGAAACAUGUUUUUUGGAAUCAAAGUGUUACCUGGAUUCUUACCCAGGAUUUUCCUAUUGUCUUAGGACCUAAAGGGAAAAGACCAGCCAUGGGGUAUGUGAGCCUCUGGGAUAUCUGCCUCAAGCCCAUAAUGCCAUGCAUCUACAGCAGUUGGAACAGUUUAAGAGUCAGACCUCUCUAGAUCCCAAGCGCUGCAACAUGAAUAACAAAACCAAGGUUAAGCCACAGACCAGGCCCCAUGGAGAUUUCACUGCUUCCAGCCUGACCAUCAGGAUUUGGGUCCUGACCACUCCCCUGGCUGUUGGGCUGGUCCCAGCUCUGGGCCUUGGUUUUCUCACCCACAGAAUGGGGACAAUACAGGACCUCCCUCAUCAGAGCUGUCACAAGUGUUAAGUGAACGGGUUCAUGUGAAGCCCUGCAGUGCCUGGCACAGAUCAAGGGCCCCACCGAUAGUGGCUGUGAGUUUUCCCACGAAUGUAUUUUUUUGAUAUGUAACAUUUUAAAAUAAAAUUUUCUCUUUUCUUUCUUUC